GUAGGGAAUAUUGGGCAAUGGAUGCAAGUCUGACCCAGCCAUGCCGCGUGGAGGAAGAAGGUCCUCUGGAUUGUAAACUCCUUUUAUGGGGGAAGAAUAGUUCUCUUGCGAGGGAAUGUGACGGUACCCUAAGAAUAAGCCACGGCUAACUACGUGCCAGCAGCCGCGGUAAUACGUAGGUGGCAAGCGUUGUCCGGAUUUAUUGGGUUUAAAGGGUGCGUAGGUGGUUUGAUAAGUCAGUGGUGAAAGCUGGUUGCUCAACAAUCAAGUUGCCAUUGAUACUGUCGGACUUGAGAGAAGUGGAGGUUCAUGGAAUGGAUGGUGUAGCGGUGAAAUGCAUAGAUAUCAUCCAGAACGUCGAUUGCGAAGGCAGUGGGCUGUACUUUAUCUGACACUGAGGCACGAAAGUGUGGGGAUCAAACAGGAUUAGAAACCCGAGUAGUCC
rnacentral:rRNA from 1 species